rnacentral:rRNA from 1 species
UUAAGUGACUAAGCGUACACGGUGGAUGCCUAGGCAGUCAGAGGCGAUGAAGGGCGUGCUAAUCUGCGAAAAGCGUCGGUAAGGUGAUAUGAACCGUUAUAACCGGCGAUACCCGAAUGGGGAAACCCAGUGUGUUUCGACACACUAUCAUGUCAUGAAUACAUAGUGGCAUGAGGCGAACCGGGGGAACUGAAACAUCUAAGUACCCCGAGGAAAAGAAAUCAACCGAGAUUCCCCCAGUAGCGGCGAGCGAACGGGGAGGAGCCCAGAACCUGAAUCGGCUUGUGUGUUAGUGGAAGCGUCUGGAAAGUCGCGCAGCAAAGGGUGAUAGCCCCGUACACUAAAAUGCACAGGUCGUGAGUUCGAUGAGUAGGGCGGGACACGUGACAUCCUGUCUGAAUAUGGGGGGACCAUCCUCCAAGGCUAAAUACUCCUGACUGACCGAUAGUGAACCAGUACCGUGAGGGAAAGGCGAAAAGAACCCCGGCGAGGGGAGUGAAAUAGAACCUGAAACCGUGUACGUACAAGCAGUGGGAGCACCUUCGUGGUGUGACUGCGUACCUUUUGUAUAAUGGGUCAGCGACUUAUAUUUUGUAGCAAGGUUAACCGUAUAGGGGAGCCGUAGGGAAACCGAGUCUUAACUGGGCGAAUAGUUGCAAGGUAUAGACCCGAAACCCGGUGAUCUAGCCAUGGGCAGGUUGAAGGUUGGGUAACACUAACUGGAGGACCGAACCGACUAAUGUUGAAAAAUUAGCGGAUGACUUGUGGCUGGGGGUGAAAGGCCAAUCAAACCGGGAGAUAGCUGGUUCUCCCCGAAAGCUAUUUAGGUAGCGCCUCGUGAACUCAUCUUCGGGGGUAGAGCACUGUUUCGGCUAGGGGGCCAUCCCGGCUUACCAAACCGAUGCAAACUCCGAAUACCGAAGAAUGUUAUCACGGGAGACACACGGCGGGUGCUAACGUCCGUCGUGAAGAGGGAAACAACCCAGACCGCCAGCUAAGGUCCCAAAGUCAUGGUUAAGUGGGAAACGAUGUGGGAAGGCAUAGACAGCCAGGAUGUUGGCUUAGAAGCAGCCAUCAUUUAAAGAAAGCGUAAUAGCUCACUGGUCGAGUCGGCCUGCGCGGAAGAUGUAACGGGGCUAAACCAUGCACCGAAGCUGCGGCAGCGACGUUUAGGCGUUGUUGGGUAGGGGAGCGUUCUGUAAGCCGUUGAAGGUGGCCUGUGAGGGUUGCUGGAGGUAUCAGAAGUGCGAAUGCUGACAUAAGUAACGAUAAAGCGGGUGAAAAGCCCGCUCGCCGGAAGACCAAGGGUUCCUGUCCAACGUUAAUCGGGGCAGGGUGAGUCGACCCCUAAGGCGAGGCUGAAAAGCGUAGUCGAUGGGAAACAGGUUAAUAUUCCUGUACUUGGUGUUACUGCGAAGGGGGGACGGAGAAGGCUAGGCUAGCCGGGCGACGGUUGUCCCGGUUUAAGCGUGUAGGGGGUGUGACCUGGUAAAUCCGGUUGCAUGCUAACCCUGAGGCGUGAUGACGAUGCACUACGGUGCAGAAGUAGUUGAUGCCCUGCUUCCAGGAAAAUCCUCUAAGCUCCAGGUAACAUUAAAUCGUACCCCAAACCGACACAGGUGGUCAGGUAGAGAAUACCAAGGCGCUUGAGAGAACUCGGGUGAAGGAACUAGGCAAAAUGGUGCCGUAACUUCGGGAGAAGGCGCGCUGGCAUGUAGGUGAAGUCCCUUGCGGAUGGAGCUGAAGCCAGUCGAAGAUACCAGCUGGCUGCAACUGUUUAAUAAAAACACAGCACUGUGCAAACACGAAAGUGGACGUAUACGGUGUGACGCCUGCCCGGUGCUGGAAGGUUAAUUGAUGGGGUCAGCCGCAAGGCGAAGCUCUUGAUCGAAGCCCCAGUAAACGGCGGCCGUAACUAUAACGGUCCUAAGGUAGCGAAAUUCCUUGUCGGGUAAGUUCCGACCUGCACGAAUGGCGUAAUGAUGGCCAGGCUGUCUCCACCCGAGACUCAGUGAAAUUGAACUCGCUGUGAAGAUGCAGUGUACCCGCGGCAAGACGGAAAGACCCCGUGAACCUUUACUAUAGCUUGACACUGAACAUUGAGCCUUGAUGUGUAGGAUAGGUGGGAGGCUUUGAAGCGUGGACGCCAGUCUGCGUGGAGCCAUCCUUGAAAUACCACCCUUUAAUGUUUGAUGUUCUAACUCGGCCCCAUAAUCUGGGGUGAGGACAGUGUCUGGUGGGUAGUUUGACUGGGGCGGUCUCCUCCCAAAGAGUAACGGAGGAGCACGAAGGUUAGCUAAUCACGGUCGGACAUCGUGAGGUUAGUGCAAAGGCAUAAGCUAGCUUGACUGCGAGAGUGACGGCUCGAGCAGGUACGAAAGUAGGUCUUAGUGAUCCGGUGGUUCUGAAUGGAAGGGCCAUCGCUCAACGGAUAAAAGGUACUCCGGGGAUAACAGGCUGAUACCGCCCAAGAGUUCAUAUCGACGGCGGUGUUUGGCACCUCGAUGUCGGCUCAUCACAUCCUGGGGCUGAAGUAGGUCCCAAGGGUAUGGCUGUUCGCCAUUUAAAGUGGUACGCGAGCUGGGUUUAGAACGUCGUGAGACAGUUCGGUCCCUAUCUGCCGUGGGCGUUGGAAGAUUGAGAGGGGUUGCUCCUAGUACGAGAGGACCGGAGUGAACGCACCACUGGUGUUCGGGUUGUCAUGCCAAUGGCAUUGCCCGGUAGCUAAGUGCGGAAAAGAUAAGCGCUGAAAGCAUCUAAGCGCGAAACUUGCCUCAAGAUGAGUCUUCCCUGGGCCUUCAAGGCCCCUGAAGGAACGUUUAAGACUAAGACGUUGAUAGGCUGGGUGUGUAAGUGCAGCGAUGCAUUGAGCUAACCAGUACUAAUGAUCCGUGAGGCUUAACCUU